GUUGGGAGUAGAUAUUGUCAUGCCUUUAUUGCCUAGACCAUAUCAAGAAAAUAACAAUUUUUCUCUUUAGUCUAGGUUUAAGACUUACACAUCUUAAAUCCUGAGGAAAAAUGUGUCAUCUUGAGACUUAUAACAACAUUUGGCACUAACCUUACAAUUUUAAUGUUGGCAUUGUGGGUAAAAUCAGGGGUGAAAGAAGGCCGGUAUGGUCCAGUACUGCAUACCACUAAAAGAUUCAGUUGCAGUACGCAGGUGGUUCCAAGUUGUUCUGAAUUGCUUCUGAACCGUCCUUGCUGUGUUUUGAGCCGUGCUGGAUGGCGCGCAGCUAGCUGCUUUUAGUCACUGCUAGCUAGCGUGAACGCGAGCAGCUGACUGAUAGCCAGUGUUUUGGGGGUUUUGGCAGGAAGACGUGUUGUUGCUACUACCACAGAUGUGCUUAGUUUAAAUAUCUCUCAUGCUGUA